UGGAGAUAGCUGGUUCUCUCCGAAAUAGCUUUAGGGCUAGCCUCAAGUGAUGAUUAUUGGAGGUAGAGCACUGUUUGGACGAGGGGCCCCUCUCGGGUUACCGAAUUCAGACAAACUCCGAAUGCCAAUUAAUUUAACUUGGGAGUCAGAACAUGGGUGAUAAGGUCCGUGUUCGAAAGGGAAACAGCCCAGACCACCAGCUAAGGUCCCAAAAUAUAUGUUAAGUGGAAAAGGAUGUGGCGUUGCCCAGACAACUAGGAUGUUGGCUUAGAAGCAGCCAUCAUUUAAAGAGUGCGUAAUAGCUCACUAGUCGAGUGACACUGCGCCGAAAAUGUACCGGGGCUAAACAUAUUACCGAAGCUGUGGAUUGUCCUUUGGACAAUGGUAGGAGAGCGUUCUAAGGGCGUUGAAGCAUGAUCGUAAGGACAUGUGGAGCGCUUAGAAGUGAGAAUGCCGGUGUGAGUAGCGAAAGACGGGUGAGAAUCCCGUCCACCGAUUGACUAAGGUUUCCAGAGGAAGGCUCGUCCGCUCUGGGUUAGUCGGGUCCUAAGCUGAGGCCGACAGGCGUAGGCGAUGGAUAACAGGUUGAUAUUCCUGUACCACCUAUAAUCGUUUUAAUCGAUGGGGGGACGCAGUAGGAUAGGCGAAGCGUGCGAUUGGAUUGCACGUCUAAGCAGUAAGGCUGAGUAUUAGGCAAAUCCGGUACUCGUUGAGGCUGAGCUGUGAUGGGGAGAAGACAUUGUGUCUUCGAGUCGUUGAUUUCACACUGCCGAGAAAAGCCUCUAGAUAGAAAAUAGGUGCCCGUACCGCAAACCGACACAGGUAGUCAAGAUGAGAAUUCUAAGGUGAGCGAGCGAACUCUCGUUAAGGAACUCGGCAAAAUGACCCCGUAACUUCGGGAGAAGGGGUGCUCUUUAGGGUUAACGCCCAGAAGAGCCGCAGUGAAUAGGCCCAAGCGACUGUUUAUCAAAAACACAGGUCUCUGCUAAACCGUAAGGUGAUGUAUAGGGGCUGACGCCUGCCCGGUGCUGGAAGGUUAAGAGGAGUGGUUAGCUUCUGCGAAGCUACGAAUCGAAGCCCCAGUAAACGGCGGCCGUAACUAUAACGGUCCUAAGGUAGCGAAAUUCCUUGUCGGGUAAGUUCCGACCCGCACGAAAGGCGUAACGAUUUGGGCACUGUCUCAACGAGAGACUCGGUGAAAUCAUAGUACCUGUGAAGAUGCAGGUUACCCGCGACAGGACGGAAAGACCCCGUGGAGCUUUACUGUAGCCUGAUAUUGAAAUUCGGCACAGCUUGUACAGGAUAGGUAGGAGCCUUUGAAACGUGAGCGCUAGCUUACGUGGAGGCGCUGGUGGGAUACUACCCUAGCUGUGUUGGCUUUCUAACCCGCACCACUUAUCGUGGUGGGAGACAGUGUCAGGCGGGCAGUUUGACUGGGGCGGUCGCCUCCUAAAAGGUAACGGAGGCGCUCAAAGGUUCCCUCAGAAUGGUUGGAAAUCAUUCAUAGAGUGUAAAGGCAUAAGGGAGCUUGACUGCGAGACCUACAAGUCGAGCAGGGUCGAAAGACGGACUUAGUGAUCCGGUGGUUCCGCAUGGAAGGGCCAUCGCUCAACGGAUAAAAGCUACCCCGGGGAUAACAGGCUUAUCUCCCCCAAGAGUUCACAUCGACGGGGAGGUUUGGCACCUCGAUGUCGGCUCAUCGCAUCCUGGGGCUGUAGUCGGUCCCAAGGGUUGGGCUGUUCGCCCAUUAAAGCGGUACGCGAGCUGGGUUCAGAACGUCGUGAGACAGUUCGGUCCCUAUCCGUCGUGGGCGUAGGAAA
rnacentral:rRNA from 1 species